rnacentral:rRNA from 1 species
UACGGGGGGGGGCAAGCGUUGUUCGGAAUUACUGGGCGUAAAGGGCUCGUAGGCGGCCAACUAAGUCGGAUGUGAAAUCCCCGGGCUCAACCCGGGAACUGCGUCCGAUACUGGCAGGCUUGAAUCCGGGAGAGGGAUGCGGAAUUCCAGGUGUAGCGGUGAAAUGCGUAGAUAUCUGGAGGAACACCGGUGGCGAAAGGCGGCAUCCUGGACCGGUAUUGACGCUGAUGCGCGGAAAGCCCAGG